ensembl:snRNA U6 U6 spliceosomal RNA
GUGCUUGCUCCGGCAGCACAUGCACUAAACUGGAACGAUACAGGGAUUAGCGUGGCCCCUGCGCAAGGAUGUCACGCAGAUUCGUGAAGCGUUCCAUAAUUUU